CCAGCCCGGCCGGGGGCCCCUGAGGGCCUCGGGGACGCGGAGCCCCGGCGGACGCUGCGCGAAGUUACAGCCGCAUGAGCUACACCUCCUGAGAGACCCUCACGCCGGAGGCUGAGGGGGCUGAGAGGAUUACAUAAAUUUCGUGCCUCAUCCCUGAUGCUCCAUAAAUGGCCACUGGUCCCAAAUUAGCAUGUGGGUACUAUGAUUGAAGAAUAUGAAGUCCUUAGUUAUAAUGUUUGUAACAGAGUUCAACAGCAUUUAAAUAAAUUUAUUCUGGAUGAGACAGUUUUAAAGACAUCUGUUGGGUUGGGUUGUUCUUUUAUCUUAAGUAAUUCUGGCCUUCUAAUACAACUGCUCAGACUUUCUUCAAAA